GACGAACGCUGGCGGCGUGCCUAAUACAUGCAAGUUGAGCGCUGAAGGUUGGUACUUGUACCAACUGGAUGAGCAGCGAACGGGUGAGUAACGCGUGGGGAAUCUGCCUUUGAGCGGGGGACAACAUUUGGAAACGAAUGCUAAUACCGCAUAAAAACUUUAAACACAAGUUUUAAGUUUGAAAGAUGCAAUUGCAUCACUCAAAGAUGAUCCCGCGUUGUAUUAGCUAGUUGGUGAGGUAAAGGCUCACCAAGGCGAUGAUACAUAGCCGACCUGAGAGGGUGAUCGGCCACAUUGGGACUGAGACACGGCCCAAACUCCUACGGGAGGCAGCAGUAGGGAAUCUUCGGCAAUGGACGAAAGUCUGACCGAGCAACGCCGCGUGAGUGAAGAAGGUUUUCGGAUCGUAAAACUCUGUUGGUAAAGAAGAACGUUGGUGAGAGUGGAAAGCUCAUCAAGUGACGGUAACUACCCAGAAAGGGACGGCUAACUACGUG
rnacentral:rRNA from 1 species